rnacentral:rRNA from 1 species
AACGAACGCUGGCGGCAUGCCUAACACAUGCAAGUCGAACGAGACCUUCGGGUCUAGUGGCGCACGGGUGCGUAACGCGUGGGAACCUGCCCUUAGGUUCGGAAUAACUCCCCGAAAGGGGUGCUAAUACCGGAUAAUGUCUUCGGACCAAAGAUUUAUCGCCUUUGGAUGGGCCCGCGUUGGAUUAGCUAGUUGGUAGGGUAAAAGCCUACCAAGGCGACGAUCCAUAGCUGGUCUGAGAGGAUGAUCAGCCACACUGGGACUGAGACACGGCCCAGACUACUACGGGAGGCAGCAGUGGGGAAUAUUGGAAAAUGGGCGAAAGCCUGAUCCAGCAAUGCCGCGUGAGUGAUGAAGGCCUUAGGGUUGUAAAGCUCUUUUACACGGGAUGAUACUGACAGUACCGGGAGAAUAAGCUCCGGCUAACUCCGUG